rnacentral:lncRNA from 13 species
CUCUCUCUCUCUCUCUCUCUCUCUGUGUUCAGGGUCCUAGAGGUGUGCUUGGGCCAAACGGUCCACCUGGGCCCACUGGACAGCCUGGUGUGGCUGGAGUGGACGGUCCUCACGGUCCCAAAGGAAACAUGGGACCUCAAGGAGAGCCGGGACCACCAGGUCAGCAGGGGAUCCCAGAAACACAAGGACUUCCUGGUCCUCAAGGUCCCAUCGGACCACCCGGUGAACGAGUAAGUUGGAGCUCUGCUCUUCGGUUGCCUGUCAACUAAACUGACCUGAAAGUGUUGUGUUAGUAAGGUAGUGGUACAAAAGACAAAUUGUAAAAUGUCUGAUCUGUUAGAUGUAGAUUUAAAAUACACAUACUGGGAAAUACUUGUUUACUAUACUACUGUACUGG